AGAGUUUGAUCCUGGCUCAGAAUCAACGCUGGCGGCGUGCCUAACACAUGCAAGUCGAACGAGAGAGCUUUCUUCGGAAGGCAAGUAAAGUGGCAAACGGGUGAGUAACGCGUGGGACAUCUACCCUGAUGAGGGGAAUAACUCUCCGAAAGGAGAGCUAAUACCGCAUAUACCGUGCAAACGGGAAAGGCCUUCGGGUCGCAUCAGGAGGAGCCCGCGUCCGAUUAGCUAGUUGGUGAGGUAAUGGCUCACCAAGGCGACGAUCGGUAGCCGGUCUGAGAGGACGGACGGCCACACUGGGACUGAGACACGGCCCAGACUCCUACGGGAGGCAGCAGUGGGGAAUUUUGGGCAAUGGGCGAAAGCCUGACCCAGCAACGCCGCGUGGAGGAAGAAGGUUUUCGGAUCGUAAACUCCUGUCCCACGAGACGAAGAAAGUGACGGUAUUGUGGGAGGAAGCCCCGGCUAACUCCGUGCCAGCAGCCGCGGUAAUACGGGGGGGGCAAGCGUUGUUCGGAAUUACUGGGCGUAAAGGGCGCGUAGGCGGUUUCGGAAGUCAAGGGUGAAAGCCCCGAGCUCAACUCGGGAACUGCCUUUGAAACCACGGAACUAGAGUGUUGGAGAGGAAAGCGGAAUUUCCAGUGUAGCGGUGAAAUGCGUAGAUAUUGGAAGGGACAUCUGAGGCGAAGGCGGCUUUCUGGACAGACACUGACGCUGAGGCGCGAAAGCCAGGGGAGCAAACGGGAUUACAUACCCCGGUAGUCCUGGCUGUAAACGAUGAACACUUGGUGUGGGGGGUAUAAAGUCCCUCCGUGCCGUAGAUAACUCGAUAAGUGUUCCGCCUGGGGAGUACGGCCGCAAGGCUGAAACUCAAAGGAAUUGACGGGGGCCCGCACAAGCGGUGGAGCAUGUGGUUUAAUUCGACGCAACGCGAAGAACCUUACCGGGGUUUGAACUGUACCUGCAACAUUCGGAGAUGGAUGGUUUCCUUAGGGAACUGGUAUAGAGGUGCUGCAUGGCUGUCGUCAGCUCGUGUCGUGAGAUGUUGGGUUAAGUCCCGCAACGAGCGCAACCCUUGUCUGUAGUUGCCAUCAGGUUAAGCUGGGCACUCUACGGAGACUGUCGGCGAUAAGCCGGAGGAAGGUGGGGAUGACGUCAAGUCCUCAUGGCCUUUAUGUCCCGGGCUACACACGUGCUACAAUGGAUGGAACAGAGGGCUGCAAGCCUGCGAAGGCAAGCUAAUCCCAAAAAUCCGUUCUCAGUUCGGAUUGCAGUCUGCAACUCGACUGCAUGAAGUUGGAAUCGCUAGUAAUCGCGGAUCAGAACGCCGCGGUGAAUACGUUCCCGGGCCUUGUACACACCGCCCGUCACAUCACGAAAGUGGGCUGUACUAGAAGCCGCUGGCCUAACCUCUUCGGAGGAGGGAGGCGUCGACGGUAUGGUUCAUGAUUGGGGUGAAGUCGUAACAAGGUA
rnacentral:rRNA from 1 species